UCCCUGGUGGUCUACUGGUUAAGACUCUGCGCUUCCACUGCAGGAGCCCCAGGUUCGAUCCUGUUUGGGAA
rnacentral:tRNA from 1 species